rnacentral:rRNA from 1 species
ACACCGAGAGAUGAUGACGAGGCUCUACGGAGCUGAAGUAACCGAUACCACACUUCCAGGAAAAGCCACUAAGCUUCAGGUUUAUCUAAACCGUACUGAAAACCGACACAGGUGGUCAGGUAGAGAAUACUCAGGCGCUUGAGAGAACUCGGGUGAAGGAACUAGGCAAAAUAGCACCGUAACUUCGGGAGAAGGUGCGCCGGCGUAGAUUGUAGUCCCUAGCGGGCGAAGGUUGAACCGGUCGAAGAUACCAGCUGGCUGCAACUGUUUAUUAAAAACACAGCACUCUGCAAACACGAAAGUGGACGUAUAGGGUGUGAUGCCUGCCCGGUGCUGGAAGGUUAAUUGAUGGUGUAAUCGAAAGAGAAGCUCCUGAUCGAAGCCCCAGUAAACGGCGGCCGUAACUAUAACGGUCCUAAGGUAGCGAAAUUCCUUGUCGGGUAAGUUCCGACCUGCACGAAUGGCAUAAUGAUGGCCAGGCUGUCUCCACCCGAGACUCAGUGAAAUUGAAAUCGCCGUGAAGAUGCGGUGUACCCGCGGCUAGACGGAAAGACCCCGUGAACCUUUACUAUAGCUUGACACUGAACAUUGAAUUUUGAUGUGUAGGAUAGGUGGGAGCCUUUGAAGCAGUCACGCCAGUGAUUGUGGAGGCGUCCUUGAAAUACCACCCUUUAACGUUUGAUGUUCUAACGAAGAUUACGAAACGUGGUCUCGGACAGUGUCUGGUGGGUAGUUUGACUGGGGCGGUCUCCUCCCAAAGAGUAACGGAGGAGCACGAAGGUUUGCUAAUGACGGUCGGACAUCGUCAGGUUAGUGCAAUGGUAUAAGCAAGCUUAACUGCGAGACAGACAAGUCGAGCAGGUACGAAAGUAGGUCAUAGUGAUCCGGUGGUUCUGAAUGGAAGGGCCAUCGCUCAACGGAUAAAAGGUACUCCGGGGAUAACAGGCUGAUACCGCCCAAGAGUUCAUAUCGACGGCGGUGUUUGGCACCUCGAUGUCGGCUCAUCACAUCCUGGGGCUGAAGUAGGUCCCAAGGGUAUGGCUGUUCGCCAUUUAAAGUGGUACGCGAGCUGGGUUUAGAACGUCGUGAGACAGUUCGGUCCCUAUCUGCCGUGGGCGUUGGAGAAUUGAUUGGGGCUGCUCCUAGUACGAGAGGACCGGAGUGGACGCACCACUGGUGUUCCGGUUGUGUCGCCAGACGCAUUGCCGGGUAGCUAAGUGCGGAAGAGAUAAGUGCUGAAAGCAUCUAAGCACGAAACUUGCCAAGAGAUGAGUUCUCCCUGUUUUUAAGACAGUAAGGGUUGUUUAAGACUAAGACGUAGAUAGGUCUGGUGUGUAAGCGGUGCGAGCCGUUGAGCUAACAGAUACUAAUUGCCCGAGAGGCUUAACUAU